rnacentral:rRNA from 1 species
GACGAACGCUGGCGGCGUGCUUAACACAUGCAAGUCGAACGGAAAGGCCCUGCUUGCAGUGUACUCGAGUGGCGAACGGGUGAGUAACACGUGGGUGAUCUGCCCUGCACUUCGGGAUAAGCUUGGGAAACUGGGUCUAAUACCGGAUAGGAACCAUCUUUAGUGUGGUGGUUGGAAAGUUUUUUCGGUGUAGGAUGAGCUCGCGGCCUAUAAGCUUGUUGGUGGGGUAAUGGCCUACCAAGGCGGCGACGGGUAGCAGGCCUGAGAGGGUGUACGGCCAUAUCGGGGACGAGGACAGGCCCAGACCCCUAAGGGAGGGAGACGUGGGGAAGAUUGCCCAAGGGGCGCAAGCCUGGUGGAGCGACGCCGCGGGGGGGAUGAAGGCCUUAGGGUUGUAAAACCCGUUUGAGAGGGACGAAGCUUUGUUGUGACGGUACUUAGAUAAGAAGCACCGGCUAACUCCGU